AGGGUAUAAAUAUUGGGAGCUUCCCACCUUAGGGGUUCCUGCCUUGGAGUUCGUUCCUGCCUGAACAUUCUUGCCUGCCUGAGACUUCUCCCCCACCCCCCUCUCGCCUGGCCUGGAUACAGAAAGAGCUUCAAAGGAAUGCUUCACCCAUUGACACCUUUGUGGAAAGCCUAACGACUCUUAACGACCCUCCUGCAGCUGCUGAAAGGGAACAGAAGGACAGGCCUCACAACGAAGCAGAAGAAGCGAAAACGCAGACAGUAGAAAUAAGAUGAAAUUACUAAGGUAUUGAAAAACAACCAUCCAAAGUAACAGACUUUCAGGAUAUAAGGAGAAGGCCACAUUAAAACCAGCAUUUCCACUAUUCUCUUGUGAGCU